rnacentral:rRNA from 1 species
UACGGGGGGGGCAAGCGUUGUUCGGAAUUACUGGGCGUAAAGGGCUCGUAGGCGGCCAACUAAGUCAGACGUGAAAUCCCUCGGCUUAACCGGGGAACUGCGUCUGAUACUGGAUGGCUUGAGUUUGGGAGGGGGAUGCGGAAUUCCAGGUGUAGCGGUGAAAUGCGUAGAUAUCUGGAGGAACACCGGUGGCGAAGGCGGCAUCCUGGACCAACACUGACGCUGAGGAGCGAAAGCCAGGGGAGCAAACGGG